GAGGACCUGGGUGGACGAACCUCUGGUAUGCCGGUUGUCACGCCAGUGGCACGGCCGGUUGGCUACGUUCGGAAGGGAUAACCGCUGAAAGCAUCUAAGCGGGAAGCCUGCUCCAAGAUAAGCAUUCCAUAGGACUACGGGUCCUUGAAGUCCCCAUGCAGAACACGUGGGUGAUAGGCCGGACGUGGAAGCCCCGCGAGGGGUGGAGCCGACCGGUACUAACGGACGAAAGGCAACACAAC
rnacentral:rRNA from 1 species